UGGGCGACUGGUACGAAUCCCACGAGAGAGACAUCUGAAUCAGUGACAGGAGAUCGAUAGAACAUACGGCAGAAAGGGGCCAGGCAACUCUGUACACAGACCAGGGUCAGAAAACUGACUUUUAAGUACUGCCUUGGUGGCUGGGAUUGGGUUUUAGUCGUUAAUAAGGGACUAAUGAAGGAACGCAAUAUGGGCUGUGCCGUGGGUAAGGAAAAUAGCCUCUGGAAAAACAGAAGGAGUAAAAGGUAAUGGAAAUGGAGGCGGGGCCCCUUACAACACACCUCCUGAAAGUCCGUUGGGCAGGGUGUUGUGGAAUUGGAAAAGUAAUACUUGUACAGGGGAAAAAGAUGAUUAAAUAUCGUUGCUUUGUAUGGACUAAGGAAUCCAUUCCUCGUCCUGCUGUCUUCUGGCCAAAGUACAGCUCGGACGAAGACUGGGUUUGGAAACAGGGUUUAUUGGCACAGACUCCAGCCCUGGAAUUCACCGUUCAUCCCAUCCGGCCGGGAGAUUGGGUCUGAGUAAAAUCAUGGACAGAGACUAAACUGCAGCCGGGCUGGGAAGGGCCGGACCAGGCUCUUUUGACCGAGACGGCAAUAAGGAAGGCGGGGAAAGGCUGGACUCACUCCCGUCGGAUCAAAGGGCCAGUGGAAUCUCCAGUUGAGGAAGAAGUCUGGAGAGCUGAAUCAACGCAAGCCCCGCUGCAACUCAGGCUAAAGAGACUUUGAGUAACUGAUUAUACAGUGGUGACACGAGCGCGGGGAUUAUUUCUGUCGGAUUGUAUAUUAAGUUGUUUUGUGCGUCAGCAUGAUGUUUAGAAUACUGGGAAUGUUUAGAGUUAUGAUGCUCGCCCUCUUAGUAUUGGGAUUUUGUCAAAUAUCAUUUUCAUCUGUGUUACUAAUGGUUCCUGAGUCUGAUAAUCCACAAGUCAUAGACGCUGAUGCAUGCAGCUUAGUCAAUUGUGGGGAUGUAGAUAAUUAGAGACAGUACCGCAGCUCAGAGAUACAUCUUCAGUCCUGUGGGGAUGACCUUGGGGAUGGUCCUUGGUAUAAUGGUCUCGUCACAGUACACCGGGCCCCCUUCCAACCAGCUCGCGAUUGUCCCGAUAAAAAGUGUAACCCAAUAUACCUGACAAUAAAGAAAACCACAUGACAUGAAGCAAUUGGGGGGGGACACCUAUGAGAUACAAUUAAAUGAAACAUUUGGGAUAGAAAUGAAAGCGAACGGGAAGGAUUUCUCGGGCUGCUGUUUUUGAAUUAGUGUCGGACAGGGAAAACGGGCGGAACUACUGGAUAAUGAGAUACAACUUUUCACCCCUCCCGCUGAUCCUAAAGUAAUAAAAAUUACAGAGAUAAAGGACUUGAAACAGACUAUCGAAAUAGAAACUGGAUAGGGGAUGCAAAUGCCUGGGUGGAAUGGGUAAAGUAUACUGUAACAAGUCCACACAGAAGGAGUUGCUCUGCAUGUUCCUCCGGGAGGCCAGUGGCCCAGGUGGUUCCCUUUCCGCUCGGGUGGAAGCGAGACAGGAAGGGCAUGAAAUGUAUGAUAGCCCUGUAUCGGGAUGAGACUGCAUGGAAUGAUAGGAAUUGUACCUCCCUAUCUCUGAUGUUACCUCCCUCGGAGAAGAAAGAUGGACAAAUUCCCCCUGCAUUUUCCGUCGCAGUUGGAAACCACACGCCGUGUGUGUGUAGACCAGGUCUAGAGAUUUGGGGGAGCUGAAAUUGUGUACAGAGAUUAAAAAUGUUACCGAAACGGAGAAGGGAGGGAACGACUCAGCAGCAAAGGGUUCCCGAGCGGAUCUGUGGUGGUACUGUGGGGGCAAAAUACUGAGACCCACCCUCCCUCCGGAUUGGAGAGGGAUAUGGGCAAUUGUACAGUUGGCAAUUCCAUUUCCCCUGGCAUUUGAGAAGGGAAAGAUAGUAGGGAAACAGGGAAGGGGCAAAAGAUCACUGUUAGAUACUUCUUUCGAUGACAGGAUUUAUCUCGAUUCGGUAGGAGUCCCAAUGGGGGUACCUGAUGAGUUCAAGGCUCGUACCCAGAUUGCAGCAGGCUUUGGGUCAGCUCUCUUCUGGUGGGUAACAAUUAAUAAAAAUGUAGAUUGGAUAAAUUACAUUUUCUAUAAUCAACAGUGAUUUAUAAAUUAUACAAGGGAUGUGGUUAAAGGAAUAUCAGACUAGCUUGAUGUGACAAGUAGGAUAGCAUGGGAAAACAGAAUGGCCCUUGGUAUGAUUUUAGCAGAAAAAGUGUGUGUGUGUGCGCGUGUGUGUGUGCGCGUGUGUGUGUGCGCGUGUGUGUGUGCGCGUGUGUGUGUGCGCGUGUGUGUGUGCGCGUGUGUGUGUGUGCGUGUGUGUGUGACCUUUAUUCCUAAUAACACUGCGCCUGAUGGUUCAAUUCCUCGGGCCUAAAGGGGAUUGACUACCUUAGCAGAGGGACUGGCUGAGAAUUCAGGAGUAGACCCAUCUCUCCCGGGAUGGCCUGAAUCCUGGUUUGGAAGAUGGAAGGGGAUGGUAGUCUCCAUCCUUACUUCCCUGAUAGUAGUAGUCGGGGUAUUGGGGGCCAUUGGCUGUUGUAUCAUACCCUGUAUAGGAGGGCUCACCCAGAGACUGACUGAGACAGCCUUAAUGAAACAGAUGCCCUUAAAAGGGAAUCAGACAGAGGGACUUUAUCGACUAAAUAAUGAGGGGAUGAGUGAGACCAAGAUGGAUGAAAUCUCGGGAAUGAUCCUUGCGAAUUUCGGGAGCGAGGCUUAAAACAAAAAUGCAGAAGAUAACAAAUGGUAAUUAAGGAAAAAGGGGAAAUUGUGGGAUAUGGGAAAGUAAUGUUACUUCUGCUAUUCUGCAAUUAUAACUGAUUAUAUAAAAAUAAGUGAACUCA